CCAUAGCACUUAUACCCUAGACCCGUACGAGUUUGUCAGUAGAGGGUUCAAAGGGGGGAUAUGGAAUCCAAGAUACAACGAAUUCGAACUGAACUAUUGCCGGCUGGCCAAACUAAGAGAUUCUCCACACCGACCAUUAUACCAGAGGUAGAGGUUGGUAUUGCCUCUAAAAUGGCCCAUAGCACUUAUGCCCUAGACCCGUACGAGUUAGUCAGAAAAGGAUAAGGGGGGGUACCCUG
rnacentral:lncRNA from 1 species